ACGAACGCUGGCGGCGUGCUUAACACAUGCAAGUCGAACGGAAAGACCCUGCUUUUGUGGGGUGCUCGAGUGGCGAACGGGUGAGUAACACGUGAGUAACCUGCCCUUGACUUUGGGAUAACUUCAGGAAACUGGGGCUAAUACCGGAUAGGAGCUCCUGCUGCAUGGUGGGGGUUGGAAAGUUUCGGCGGUUGGGGAUGGACUCGCGGCUUAUCAGCUUGUUGGUGGGGUAGUGGCUUACCAAGGCUUUGACGGGUAGCCGGCCUGAGAGGGUGACCGGCCACAUUGGGACUGAGAUACGGCCCAGACUCCUACGGGAGGCAGCAGUGGGGAAUAUUGCACAAUGGGCGGAAGCCGGAUGCAGCAACGCCGCGUGCGGGAUGACGGCCUUCGGGUUGUAAACCGCUUUCGCCUGUGACGAAGCGUGAGUGACGGUAAUGGGUAAAGAAGCACCGGCUAACUACGU
rnacentral:rRNA from 1 species